AAACUGGGCGUUCAGCUCCGUCUGGAAACCACACACAUGGCAGCUGGACAGAGAACAGAGAGGAAGAGGGACGAAGAUGGCGAGAAUGAGAUGGAGGACUGUCACCUUUAGUGUUAUAUUAUGCCUGCAUAAAUUGAGCCAGGUGUCUAGAAAGAGUCUGCUGUCUGCCGAACACCUUGCCACAGACGGGACAGGGGAAGAGCUGCUCGUUCAGUCGCCACUGGGCUAUCCCGUUUCCUGGCUCGCCGUCAUCCUUCUCGGAGUCUGCGUCACGAAGGCACAGACAGAGAAAAACGUACGCGUGACUCACUGGCAUCAGUCAUCCACAAGUGAAUCUGCACAUGGACUGCGAAGUCAAGCCGCUAUAAACCAAACUAAGUAACUUAAGAUCGAUAUCCACAUUUGCUUAUGUUCUGACCAACAUGUGAUUAGAUGUUGUGUAACUUUAGUUUUACACAUUUCAUUUUAACAAAGUAUGUCUUUUAAUGUUAGUAGAGCUGACAGGAAGGAAGGCAAGAGAAUGGACUGAACUGGGGAAAUGAUGUAUAUGUACAGCUGCUGCCCCGAGCUUUCAGUAUUUGUGUUAAAACUAAACUAUUCAUUGAAAAAAAUAAUGAAAUUAUUUAUUAUAUUCAUUUCAAGACAGGAUAUUUCCUACUAGCUUUUAUAAUCUCGUACAGUAUCUCUUUCUGCGGCGGUUCCCGUGUGGCCUUCCACCACCCAUCAGCCCUGAAGUGGCCUAUAGACGCUGUGUGCUUUCCCCGUCUGGCAUGCUACGCUCUGCUGUCCUCCACCCCACUGCACUCUCACCAGAUAGAUGGGAGAGAGAGUAGCGAUGGGACAAAUGACACAGACCAGAAUAAAGCAGCUGACAAAAAAAAAUAGAUGGGAUGGUAGAGUGAAAGAGCCAAACCAGCCUAUAGAACAUUUUAAAAUAAUUGCAGUCACUUGGCCUGAAUAUGGCUACAAUAAGUCAUGACAGGCCACUGUCUUUGUGUCCAAGUAUAGUACAGUAACUCAAUAUCUGAAAGAACCCUGAAGCUUUCCCCUAACUUUCACACUUAAUUUUGUGACAUACACAUGUUUAAUCCAGAAAAGUCCCCUAGUUCUACUGGAACGGCUUUGCUAAUUUGUUGAACCACUGAAACCAGUCUGGUCCUAUCUGACAGAUGCUUUUUAUCAAGCCUGCGGGUGGGAUGCGGUGCAAACACAGCCUUAAUGUCAAAAGGAAAGCACCAGUACUGUAGUUGGCUGCAAAGCAUCCAUGCACAUCUACAGCUCUCUUUACCGUAUGUUACCCCUGCUCUCCUCCAGCCUUUAAUUAAAAAAAAUCAAAAGGAUGCAUUUUCAGAUACUUUAAUGAAACCAUGAAGAUCUCAAAAUGUUCAAGUGGCUGAUCUGAAUUAAACUUCAUGAUAUGAAUAGGGAAAAUGAAACAACAUUGUACUUUUUCUGUUGUAUAAUUUACUCAAACAGGGGCAUACAGUACUUAUUGGUGAGUGUCUGCAUUGCUCAGAAUGUUUUACACAGACUAACCUUUGCCCAAACGUCUGUAUAUGUAAGGAAAAUGCUUUUCGACUCAGUUAAAGAUUUAUUUUGAAUCUUUAUAAUGGAUGGAAAAACACUGCUCAGUUUCUUGCUCUGCCUCGAAGUUUGAGUCUUUGCAGAUGGAAAGCAGAACUUGACAGUGCUUUAUAAAAAAAAGAACGAAAAGUAAUCUUUAAGCAACAGUUUGAAUUCAACAACAAAUUUUCCAUCUGCAGUAAAAGUCACAUUUUAAAUUAUCCUACGAAACAAAAUUUGGCCAGCUGAUGAUUUUUUUUUUCUGGGGGGAGGUCUGAAAACCAGAAUGUGGGAAAGCAAAGACGUUUUCUGGCAUUUAGAGGCAGGUUUUACAGCAAAUGUUAAAGAACAGAUGCUCUCUGGCUGUGGAAAGUGCUGCGAAAGCGGCACAGGAACUGUCAGAGCAAAAUACACCCAUUCUGUUUAAUAUAAGCAAAAAUACAAUCAUUUCUAAGAAACACUAAAUAAUGUAUGUUCUUAGGAAACUAGCACAGCUAUCAUAACUUGUAUAAUAUUUUUAUGAACUCAACUCAGGAGUUUAAACUGCAUUUCUAUUGAAGAUGAUUUCACAGUAUUUUCACCGCGUUCAUUAUAAGAAAACUAAUUUCAAAGACUACGAAAUCUUAAAUGAGCGGUGACAGCGGUGACAGCUGUGACACGUAGAUCCAUUUAGAUUAGCUGAAAUAAUUACUCAAAUAAUGAAAAGGAAAUUAACUUGCAACUAUAUUGACACUCGUUUAUUUGUUUAAAUAGAUUUUUAAGCAAUUGUGUUAACAUUCAAUAAUCAGAGCUGCUUUCAUAAAGAAAGGAAAAUCUUAAAGGCAGGAUUAUAACUGUUAAGUAGUCACUCUAGCAAAUCCUUACUGUUACAUGUGCAUCACUAUUGUUACAAGAAUGAAUGAAGGUGUAAUGAUAAAUGCAUACAAAGUACUGCUAAGGCAACAAUUGCCUGUAAGAAAAGCAAUGCAUUGUUUAUGACCUCACACAGGUGUUUAAGGUGUAAAAAGAGGACACACGACUCCUAAAACUUGAGUUAGUGCAACCUCGGCCGGGACACUGGAGUUCCUAACCACCUGCAUUAGCUGGGAAUCUGCCUCUCAUCAUGCCAGUGGCCCUGAUGUCUUCCUGACCGGAUAUUCACACCACUUUUAAACUCAUUGUCAGUGUAAGGCUUAUUCUUGGAAUUCACAACCUUCUUAUGGGUUUUGUAGUGAAAGCUUAGUAAACAGAGACACAUUAACUUGCCCUGACAUGCAAAUGAGAGCAGGGGAAGGCCUGGUGUCAAGCAGCGGUGGCAGAGGCCCUGACCUGGGAAAACGUACUGAUAGUUAAGCCAAUUAGGGCUUGGUGUACUUAAAAUGGGGAAUGGCUUAAUUACUGCUAGAAAAAGAUUAUACUAAACAGCUAAAUGAAAGCACAAGAUAUUUUUGAUUUUUAACGUGCAGUACGUUCUGAGAAAAUCUUUCUACCACUGCCAGAAAAAUCUGUUUAUUUGAAGUUUGACUGAAUUUAAUUCUAUUGAACUACAUCUGCAACAAGUAAGCUCACAAAGAAUGGCAACAUGGAUGUGUUAAAAAGGGACAAAAAGACAACAGACACAGGAGUGAGGAAAUGAGCAAGUGUGGACAGACAUACAGGGAAAAAGAGUGGCAGAGGCUGGACCUGAAGCUUAAACACACAGGGGAAAGGGGAGGUGGUCUAGGCGAAUUAACUUUCAGGACACUUUUGACACCAAGAAGCCAAUCGGAUUUUCAUUAACUGGCACAGGGACAGGCAAAGCUGGCACAAGCUAAUUAACCUCUGGAUCUCUCACUGCCAAAGGAACAUGGAGGGAAGUUCUGGGAUGUCAGGGAGGAAGGGAGGAGAGGGAGAUGGGGGAUGCCCUAGGCAGAGGCCUUCGGGUUGGGAAAACAGGUGAGAAGCUCUAAAUAUGAAAUAGGGAGGCGGGUUUUACCAGAGAGCGGGUUGAGACCAUGUAAAGCAGCUGGUGGUUAAUUGUGGAUUUUAUUGGACGUUGCUUCUGUAUGUGUCUAUUUCUCUCUGUGUGUCUGCAGGACGUUAUGUAAAUUCAAUUCAAAUUCAAGUCAUCACCAAAUAAAGACUAGUUUUACUACUGAUUAACCUUUGGAUUAUUUUUGAUUAACCAUUUUGCAUGUCACUUCCUUCCUUGUAUUGUGUUUUUAGUUUACAUUAUCUUGUAUUUUAC